rnacentral:rRNA from 1 species
GAUGAACGCUAGCGGGAGGCUUAACACAUGCAAGUCGAGGGGCAGCAUAGGGUAGCAAUACCCUGAUGGCGACCGGCAGACGGGUGAGUAACGCGUAUGUAACCUACCCUGUACAGGGGGAUAACCCGGAGAAAUUCGGACUAAUAUCCCAUAAUAUUAUGAGAGGGCAUCUGAUUAUAAUUAAAGUUCCGGCGGUACGGGAUGGGCAUGCGUAACAUUAGCUAGUUGGUAGGGUAACGGCCUACCAAGGCAUUGAUGUUUAGGGGUCCUGAGAGGGUGGUCCCCCCACACUGGUACUGAGACACGGACCAGACUCCUACGGGAGGCAGCAGUGAGGAAUAUUGGUCAAUGGGCGCAAGCCUGAACCAGCCAUCCCGCGUGCAGGAAGACGGCCCUAUGGGUUGUAAACUGCUUUUCCAGAAGGCGAAACGCUCUGACGUGUCAGGGUUUGACGGUAUUUUGGGAAUAAGCAUCGGCUAACUCCGUG